GCUGGGCGUGGUGGCACAUGCCUAUAAUCCCAGCAGCUCAGGAGGCUGAGACAGGAGGAUCAUGAGUUCCAAAGCCAGCCUCAGCAACAGCAAGGCACUAAACAAUUCAGUGAGACCCUGUCUCUA
rnacentral:sRNA from 1 species